rnacentral:lncRNA from 1 species
UGCAACUCGUUGGUCAAACAACUAUUCAGAGUUCCUAGAGCUCCUUGUAAGGCUUGUUGGAAAACCCGUUGUCGGACUUGAUUAAUCGUUCGUUGUUGUUCAAAAUGAAUGGUUUCAUUUUUGUAAUUUUCUAAUUGUUCCAAAGUCUUAUAAGUUGAAUUAAUCAAAUUCAAUUUUUCUCGUUCUAUCUCAGAAUAUCCAUUCGUUCGAAACUGAUCUGCUUCUAUUUCCACUUUCCGUAAGCGGGCCCGGGCUUUUUCCAGCUGUUCAAUAGCCCCCUCGCGUAGUUUUUCUGAAUUUCGAAUAGUAUCCAAAAUCCUUUGUUUUCGAUUAUCUAAUAAAUCACUUAACACCCCCUUUCCAAAAAAAAUCAAUACACCAAGGACUACACUUAGAUUUAUUAGAUUUGUUGCUAAAAUAUCGGUAUUAAACCCGAAACUCCCGGCGGAUGGCCAGUGACCCAAGGAAACGAAAGAAUCGGUUAUAUUUUUCAUAUGAUCUCCCCUUUUCUUAUAGACUAUAGACAGACUAAUUAUUUAUUUUUUAUUUUUUUUUCUUAUUCUAUAUUUCUUAUUUUAUUUUAUAUGUGUAUAUGUUAUUGUAUUUUAUAUGUUAUUGUUUAUUAUUGUUCUUGUUUUUUUCUUGUUUUUUUUUUUUUUUGUAUUCUAUUUCUAAAUAGAGUAAAAAAAAUAUUCGAUUUCUAUUCGAAUUAUAAAUGCAUUUUUUUCAAUUUUCAAUUUGAAAUCUCUAAUACUAAUAAAUAUUAUUCUUAUUAAAAUUCAGUUUAGAAUUCGGUAACAGGUCUCGUAUUAAUUGCAAAACAAAAAAAAGCAAAAAGAAUAUAUCCUGUUGCAACAUUUCCUUAAAAAAAGGGUUUCGAUUGGACUAAGAAGGGGGAAGGAAAAAAGCGAGUUAGUAUACUAAUUCCUCAUCCUCAAAUCAGUCCUUCCCGUGGGUUAUUGUCCCAAUUAAAUAAGUAAUUGUAGGAAUUAAAUCUUAAUAUAAUUCGAAAAAACAAGCAGCGAGUCCAAGGCAAUAAAAAAAUACGUAUUUUUUUUUGUAUAGGAUUAAACAAAAGGAUUCGCAAAUAACAGUGCUAAUGCUACAACCAGUCCAUAAAUCGUUAAAGCUUCCAUAAAAGCCAGACUAAGCAAUAAAGUACCUCGUAUUUUUCCCUCCGCCUCGGGUUGUCUUGCAAUACCUUCUACAGCUUGGCCCGCGGCAGUACCUUGACCAACCCCAGGUCCAAUAGAAGCAAGCCCAACGGCCAACCCAGCAGCAAUAACGGAAGCGGCAGAAAUCAAUGGAUUCAUGAUAAGUUCCUCGCACCAAAAUAAAAUAAAGAAAAAGAAAUGGUUAAUGAUACAAUCAACCAAUAAAUUAUGACUUAAUUAUUCAUCCCAUCAAUAAGAUUUAUCCAGUCGAAGUAACAAAGAACUCCGAAUUGAAGUAAUAAUAUUAUUGAAUCAUCAGAACUACUUUGAUAUCUAGUUUUGAGUUCCUAUCCACAAAGUUUUUGUGAAUUCAUACAACUUUUUUGUUUUUCCAUUUCUUUCUUUGUUCCAAAUCAUUUUUUGAAUUCGAACUCUUCGUUCUUUUUCUUGAUUUAAUCUCUUUAUUCAAUAUUCAAUUCACAGUUACAAACGAAAAGAAAGGACUUUUAUUGGAAUCCCUAUCUAAAUCUCCAGUAGUCGGGCGGAUUAGAUAUUUUUUUUAACUCAUAUAUAACUAGUUAAUACUUAAUAUUACAUAUACACGUCCCUUUCCAUAACGUAAACCAACUAUUCGUAUCUUAGAUUUAAUCGGAUUCUAAAAUCAUUUUUUGAAACAUUCACAAAAAGAAAGUUAGCUUAUAGCCAUUAUAUAUAUAUAUUACAUAAUAAUUAUAGAUAUAUUACAUACACCCACCUAGUUUGAUUCCACUCUCCUAAACAAUCCAUUUUUUCUGAAUCUCAUUUUUUUUUAUAAAUUCUUCUCUUCCUUAUCAUUAUCCCGCAUGGAUACAAUCAAUCUAAGUGGACGAAUUCAUUAGUCUGAAUCAUUGCAUAGAAAUAUAUUGGUUGCUCUAAGUUCAUGUAAUUUUUUAUUUAUUAAUAUUUUCUUUUGGUCAAUCGUUGAAUUGAAUAAAACCGACUGAAAUGGAAAUCGCUCUAUAGAACCUCUUUUUUUAAUCACACAUUGUAAAUAAAUAAAGGAUUCUUAUUCAGAUUAUGAGUCCUAAAAUUGGAAUUGAAUGAACAAAAUAAUCAAGACAAUAUAAAGAUAAAGAGAAUGUUCAUUAGAAGAAGUUCUAAAUGAUCCAAACGAAUUCUAGGAAAAAGAUCUUUUAGAUCUCUUUCCUUUUUUUUUUUUUACAAUUCCCUAAUAUCGUAAUCUUUUUUUUACUAUUCCUUUAGAUCGUAUAGACCUUUUUGUCUAUUUCUAUUUAUGUGUAUAUUUAUGUUCACUAAGUAGAAGUAGAUUAUCUUGAACAAGGCAUAGAUUGCCUUACACUAAGCUAAAAAAGACUAUUUCGAAAAAAAAAUUAGUCAAUGAUGCCCCUCCAUGGAUUCGCCUAUAUAAGCCGCAGCUAAAGUUGCAAAAAUAAGAGCUUGAAUACCACUUGUAAAUAAUCCAAGGAACAUGACAGGUAUAGGAACCACUGAAGGUACUAAAGAAACAAGAACAACAACUACUAAUUCAUCCGCUAAUAUAUUGCCGAAAAGUCGAAAGCUAAGUGAUAAAGGUUUUGUGAAAUCUUCUAAAAUGUUAAUGGGUAAAAGGAUUGGAGUUGGUUGAAUGUAUUUACUGAAAUAACCUAAUCCUUUUUUGCUAAGACCCGCAUAAAAAUAUGCUAUUGACGUAAGUAAAGCUAAAGCAACGGUAGUAUUUAUAUCAUUCGUAGGUGCGGCUAACUCCCCGUGAGGUAACUGUAUGAUCUUCCAAGGUAAAAGCGCCCCCGCCCAAUUAGAAACAAAAAUAAAUAGAAACAUAGUUCCAAUAAAGGGGACCCACGGGCCAUAUUCCUCUCCAAUCUGAGUUUUGCUCACAUCUCGAAUGAAUUCAAGGACGUAUUCGAAGAAAUUCUGACCUCCAGUUGGAAUGGUUUGUGGAUUCCGAACAGCUACAAUGGCCGAACCUAAUAAGAUAGCAAUUACAACCCAAGAAGUAAUAAGCACUUGGGCAUGGACUUGGAAACCUCCUAUUUUCCAAUAGAAAUGCUGGCCUACUUCCACACCGGAUAUAUCAUAUAACCCCCUUAGUGUUAGUGUGUUGAUGGAACAUGAUAGAACAUUCAUAUUGCCCUCUGAAAGAAAGAAAACUUUAAAAGGAAUUAUUUUGAUUCAACCAUCUUUUUUUUCGACUUGUCCACUUAAAUUGUAUAUUUUAGAUACCAACAAAUCACAUAAUAUACAAAUCACAUAAUAUACCCAGUUAUCUCUUUUGUACGAUUCAGGAAUAGUAACCGAUUCCAUAAAUCUAUGGAGUUCACAAAAAAAUUUAGUUAUCUUAUUAUAAUUAUAAUUUAGUUAUCUUAUUUAAUCUAUCUUAUUAUUAAUCAGGGAUUUCGUAUAUAGCUAGAACGACCCUCACAAAUUGCAAAUACUAAUUUAUUAAGAAUUAAUCGGAUUGAAGCUAUAGCGUCAUCAUUCGUUGGAAUCGAAAUAUCUGCGAGAUCCGGGUCACAGUUUGUAUCAAUUAAACAAAUUGUUGGAAUUCCCAAAGUCAUACAUUCCCGAAGAGCCGUAUAUUCUUCUUGCUGAUCAACGAUUAUUACAAUAUCGGGUAACCCCGUCAUAUAUUUAAUCCCGCCCAGAUAUGUUUGCAAGUGAGCUAACUGUCUCUUCAAUCGAGCCGCAUCUCCUUUCGGAAGACGGUUGAGUCUACCUGCCUUUUGUUCCAUUCUCAAGUCCCUGAACUUUUGAAGUCUAGUUUCUGUAGUGGACCAAUUCGUUAAAAUACCGCCGAGCCAUUUUUUAUUAACAUAAUGACACCGAGCCCUUAUUGCAGCCCGCGCUACUGAAUCCGCUGCUUUAUUUUUGGUACCAACAAUUAAGAAUUGCUUUCUCCUACUUGCUGCAUCAAAAACUAAAUCACAAGCUUCUGAUAAAAAACGAGCAGUUCUAGUAAGAUUUGUAAUAUGAAUACCUUUACGCUUUGCAGAGAUAUAAGGUGCCAUUCUCGGAUUCCAUUUUCUAGUACCAUGACCAAAAUGAACUCCUGCUUUCAUCAUCUCUUCAAAAUUAAUGUUCCAAUAUCUUCUUAUCAUUUCUCCCCAUACUUCCUCUCUCUCUUUUUCUUUUUUUUUUUCAAAGAAAAAAGAGAGACGGGGUACCCUGAAAUAAAUAAUUGUUCCGAUGGAACCUUCUCUUUUCCCGGAGAUUGGACGUUGAUAUACGAUCCAAGCGAUUAAUUUCUUUCUAUUCUUUACUUUCUUUAUUACUAUUAACAUAACAAAUCACAUGUAACAAAUCCAAAUAAAUCACAGGACCGCGAUUAAUUAAAAUAUUAAUUAAAAUAAAAUAAAAGGAUGAAUCCGCUCUUAGGAAUCAUUAAAUCCUAUAAAUGAUUGUUCUGAUGUAUCAUAUAAAUUUUUGGAAAUGCAAGAAUCAAAUAACUCUCUGUGGUGGAAUAAGAUAUCUCUAUCUCUAAAUUCCCCCUCGAAUAAAUUCUUCUUUUUGGUUUUCAAAGGAAUGUUCUUAUGUUGCCUUGAGCCUUGCACUAAUCCUUUGAAUCCGGUACCAACGGGUAUCAUACCGCCUAGAACAACGUUUUCUUUCAGGCCUUUCAACCAAUCGAUACGACCGCGGAGAGCAGCUUUUGCUAAAACGCGAGUAGUUUCUUGAAAACUAGCCUCGGAUAUGAAACUUUGAGUAUUCAGAGAUGCUCGCGUUAUUCCCAAUAAUAUGGCCCCGUAACAGAUGGCUUCUUCCAAAGCGCGUCCCGUUCGUUCCGCUCGCAACAAUCCAAUUAGUUCUCCGGGUGAAAAAACAUUAGACAUUCCGUCUUCUGAAACCAAUACUUUUGAUGUUAUUUGACGUACAAUAAUUUCUAUAUGCCUAUUAUGGAUCUGCACCCCUUGGGAUCGAUAAACCUUUUGGAUCUUAUUAACUAAAGAGAUACGACUUUGCACUAUAGUUAGCUCAGUACCAAUCAAGAAUCCCCAAGGAAUUCCCAGAAUUCUUGUUAUACACUCGUUCCAACCCUCCACUCUCUUUUCUAGGUUUAUUGAUAUUGAAUCAAUUGAACGCACUUCUAACACUUGUUCCACUUUUGGAAGACCCUGCGUUAUAUCGCCAGAUCUCGAUUUUUCAUAUAUAAAUGUAACUAAUGUAUUUCCUUCGUAAAGGAUUUCUCCAUAAUGGCCAUGAACGGUUGCUCCUGGAGUGGCCAAAUAAGGCUUAGCGGAUCUUAUUACUACAGAGUCAAUGUGAACAAUUAUAACUUGACCCGAUUUUAGAUGUGGUCCGUUUUUGGCCAUACAUAAAUUUUCACAAAUAAACUGUCCCAGGCUAAUUAUUGUGAAGAAAGAUUCACAAUAAUUAUGAUGGAGAAAAUACCAAUUCAAAUUGAAUGGAUUCAAAACGCUGUUACUGCAUGGAUCGGGAUUAACAAUUCUCCCGUUUUCAUCCAUUAAAUAAUAUUUAAGUACUUGAAAAGUCUGUUUUAAAUUGUAAAGUUUCGAAUAUUUAGUUACCGAGAUCUGAUUAUGAGUUAUUAAAUUUAAAUGGUAAAAUAAAUAAAAAUUCGCAAUUUGAAGGGCUGUUCCUAAAGGGCCCAACGAAUUUCUAAUUGGAAUUAUAGGAUCUCUUUUAAUUGAUUCUUUUAUUACAUUGUGAUGUUUUACAUCGUUGAAUGGAUCCAUUUGAAAACAAUUAGAUGAUGACAAAAUUAUCAAAGAUUGACAUUCCUUAUUUAUAUUCAACAACGUACUAAUAGUUCCUUGAUUUUGUUUAAGUGAUUGUUGAACCCUUGUCUUGGAAUAAAUGGGAUAAAAUGGAUUAAUAUUGGUACGAUCUGACCCAUUAUUAGAGAUCGGUUCUGAACCUGAUGGAUCAUUCCUUUUUCUACCGAUAUAUGAAAUAUGGAAUUUCACUAGGUUGAUUCUUAGGAAAUCACGAAUCAGACCAUUUGUGCUUAUUUCAACAAAAGCAGCGCGGGCCUCUUCGAUAGAAGAACUUUUUUUGUCUUGGUCCCAAUUCAACACUAAACAAGUACGAACUAAUUGAAUACUUGUGUCAGAAAUUCCCCGAAUGGGUUUACCAGUCCCAUAAAGAAUAUAAUUGACAACUCGAAGUUUCAGAUUAUCCUUUUCCUGCAAUAGAUCCUGGGGGAAAAGUGUUUCUAAAUUUAUACCGUUCGCUAUCUCAUAUAUGAUUACUGGUCGAACCAAAACAAAAUACUUUUUCUUGGUAGGUGUGAUUCGUUGGAUAUAGAUCCAAUUUUUCACUUUUUUUGAUUCCUUAGAAUUUGUUUUUACCGUUCCUGGUGGUAUUAAGAUAUCACUGUGUCGGGAUAUUUUAUCUGUCUCUCCCGGAAAAUGGAUAUCUCCAGAAAAGAUUUUAAGUUCCAUUUUUUUUUUUUUUCUCUCCACUCGGACCAAUCCGCCCACCCGACUUCUUGUAUUUAAAGCGAUUUGUGUAUCUACUCCAAUAAUACUAUUGUUCCGUACCAUUAGGGAAGAAGAUUCGGGUAAAAUAUACACUUCCUCGGGAAUGAAAAAAAAGCGAUCCACUUUCGUUUGGUAUUUUGGCUUAAAUUCUUUGACUCCCCGAUACUCAAUCAAAUCCUCUUUUUUGACGAUUGAAUGCACCCCUAUAGCCCCAUAUUUAGUAAUUCCUGAACUCUUUUUUCGGUAUUGGGGAUCGUCGAAAUAAGCAAAAACACUAUUUCUACGGAAAAUACCAUUUAUAGGUAUCUCAAUCGAGAUAGCGGAUUGGGUCAUUAGUUCUUUCUCUCGUUCUUGAAUUGAUUGGAAUGGAAUGAUGAAUUUAUUUCUUCGCCUCUUUGCCAAUAAAUCAGAAUUCUUGUAGAGAAUAGUAGAAUAUAUGAGAUUACAAUGACCAGUACAUAUGCUUCGAUUAAGUUCUGAAUAAUCAGGAAUCCCACUUUCUUUUUUACCCGAAAAAUCUGAACUAAAGAAUUUGUGUUUCACUUGAUCAUUAUUUACGGAAGGACUAGAAAUAUAUCUUCUUUUGACAGAAAGAGAAUGAACAUUCAUUUGAUCUUGAUCCUUGUGUAGUGAAAAAGGAACUAUACUGGAUCUGCACGAACUUCCUGAUAAUAUCCAUAAAUGACUUGUUUUUGGUAAGAGAUGGACAUUACUAUAUGUAAAUUCGGGUGCAUGGUACACAUCAGUACUCCAGUGCAUUUCCCCUUCUGAAUCGGAAUAAAUAUGUUUUCGGACCUUCUCUUUAAAAUUCAAAGUGUAUGCUCCCGCCCGAAUUUCAGCAAUCACUUGUUCUGAUUCUACAUAUUGAUCAUUUUGAACUAAAAGGAAACUUUUUGGUGGAAUAGUCACGUUAUGUAUAAUAUCUUGACUCUUAAUAGUUACAUACAAGUCUAUAUAACAUAGAAAAGCAGGAUGCCCAUGACGUGUACGUAUGGGAUGAACCAAAUCCUCAUUAAAUUUGAUUUUUCCAUUAGAGGGGGCUCGUACAUGUUCUGCAGUACCCCCUGUGAAUACUCCGCCGGUAUGAAACGUUCUUAAUGUUAGUUGAGUACCCGGCUCUCCAAUGGAUUGACCCGCAAUAAUACCUACGGCUUCCCCCAAUUCUACUAGAUCGCCAUGAGUAGGACUCCGACCAUAACAUAAUCGACAGAUCCAAGACGUACUCCUACAAGUAAAGGGAGUUCGAAUAGAUAUUGUUUGUGUUCGAAAGGUUAUGAAUCGAUUGGCAAGCCCAAUCCCAAUAUCUUGAUUUCGAAUGGCAAUGCAUCGUAGACCCAUAUAUAUAUUGUCUGCUAAUACACGACCAAUGAAUGUUUGAAUAAAAAUUCUUUCCGGCAUCAUCCCAUUUCGAGGACUCACAGAGAUCCCUCGGGCGGUCCCACAAUCUGUUCUACGUACAACAAUGUGUUGAACUACUUCAACAAGUCUACGCGUAAGAUAUCCAGCAUCUGAUGUUCGUACAGCAGUAUCGACAACCCCUUUUCGGGCUCCAUAGCAAGAAAUGAUAUAUUCUGUUAAAGACAGUCCCUCGCGUAAAUUGCUUUGAAUGGGUAAAUCAAUCAUUUGUCCUUGUGGAUCCGACAUUAAUCCUCUCAUACCUACUAAUUGGUGUACUUGAGAUGUAUUUCCCCUAGCUCCCGAAAAAGACAUUAUAUGGACUGGAUUAAAGGGUUCCGUCAUCCUAAAAUUCAGGUUCAUUUCUUGUCGCAAAUAUUCACUUGUAGCAUACCAUAUCUCAAUAGAUUGGCGUAAUUUUUCUACCGCGUGUACAUUUCCAUAAUGAUAGUGUUUUUCCAAAAUCAAACUUUGUUGUUCAGCAUCUUGGACUAGCCAUCCCUUAGAAGGUAUUGUUAAAAGAUCAUCAAUUCCUAAUGAAAUGGAUGUAGCGGUGGCUUGCUGGAAACCCAGAGUCUUUACUUGAUCCAGGAUGUGUGAUGUAUAUGCCAUUCCAAAAUGAUCUAUUAAUCUGCUAAUAAGUCGUUUAAUGGCAGUUCCAUCUAUCGCUUUAUUGUGAAAGACCAGAUUGGCCCGUUCGGCCAUAAGUACCUCCAUAUUCCGCUGAGUAGGGUUCGACAAUGGAUUUGAGUCAAUGAUUAGAAACUUCCUUUUCUCGAUCUUGAUUUGCGUAUAAAUUCAGGAACUAUGGUCCUAGUUGAGGCGAAGAGAUUGGAAUUCAUGUCAGUAUCAUAGAAUUACUUAGCUUAGAUCCCUAUGAUUAGAUUAGAUACCAUCUGAGCAGGCUUGGCAAAACCCUUGUAUAGCUUCUUCGAUUUCUCGAUAAAGAGAAAUAUGACCAACAGUAGUUCGAAUGUAUAUACAAAGAAUUUCUUUUUUUAUAUUUCUUACUAUUAGAUAGUGUUCAUAAAUCUCAUGAUAGGUACCCAAAGAUUCAUAGUGAACUUCGAUGGGAGCUUCUCUUGAAGUAAUAGCGCGUUGAUCUAGCUGCCACCGGAGCCACAAAGGACUAUCUAAAUGGAUUCUUUUCUGCCGAUAAGCGCCAAGUGCAUCAUAGGAAUUAGAAAAAAGGGGUUCUUUCGUAUAUUUAUCGUUAUUACCGUCAAUUCUUUUAUUUUGAUAAUUUCUGCGAUUACAUGGAUUAUACCUAUUUGCACAAAUACCUCGACGAUUCCCGCUUGUUAAUACAUAGAGCCCAAUAAGCAUAUCUUGAGUUGGUACGGAAAUGGGAUCUCCAAUAGCUGGAGACAGAAGAUUCAUAUGAGAAAACAUAAGUAAACGAGCCUCCGCUUGAGCCUCCAACGAUAAGGGUACAUGAACAGCCAUUUGAUCCCCAUCAAAGUCUGCAUUGAAUCCCUUACAAACUAAUGGAUGUAAACAAAUAGCGCGGCCUUCCACUAAAAUGGGUUGGAAUGCCUGUAUGCCUAAUCUAUGCAGAGUCGGCGCUCUAUUCAGUAAUACUGGAUGCCCCUGCAUAACUUCGUGAAGUAUUUCCCAUACAAUUGGCUCUUUUUCCCGAAUUUUACUCUUAGCAACUCCUAUGUUCGAAGCAAGAUGUUGUCUAAUUAGACCACGAAUUACAAAUAUCUGGAAAAGCUCUAUUGCUAUUUCGCGAGGCAAUCCACAUCGAUGUAAUGAAAGUGAGGGGCCUACGACAAUGACAGAACGCCCCGAAUAAUCAACCCGUUUGCCAAGCAUAGUCUCACGAAAUCUUCCUUCUUUGCCUUCAAUUACAUCCGAAAACGACUUGUAAACCUUAUUAUGACCGUCCCUCAUUGGUUGUCCGCGGAUUCCAUUAUCAAGAAGUGUAUCCACGGCUUCUUGUACCAAUUUCUCCUGACACAUUACUAAUUCCCCUGGGGUAGAUCUACUUGUUGUUAAUAGAUCAAUAAG